rnacentral:lncRNA from 1 species
UAAAAUCUCGCAAAUUUUUAUAGCAGAAUUUUGGGAUACAUAAAGGCAACUUCAUCCUAAUGUUAAUCUAAUGUCACAGCCAACAACACCGUAGAGUUGAAUGGAAGCACUGGUAGAGCUGGAGUAGAGAUGGAGCUUGCGAGUACAAAUUUGAUGUCAACACCCUUUUUCAUAAGUUGAUAAGCUUCCUUCCCUUCAUAGGUCUAUUUUAGCACUGAAACCUAUACUCAAUUAAUCUGAAGCAAGUCCGUAGGCCGUAACCGUAGUGGACAAAUACCCACACGAGGGAUGUACUGAGUAGUAGACUAGUAGUAGUGUUU